UACGGAGGGUGCAAGCGUUAAUCGGAAUUACUGGGCGUAAAGCGCACGCAGGUGGCUGAGAAAGUCGAUUGUGAAAGCCCUGGGCUUAACCUGGGAAUUGCAGUCGAAACUACUCGGCUAGAGUAUGGGAGAGGACAGUGGAAUUCCCGGUGUAGUGGUGAAAUGCGUAGAUAUCGGGAGGAACACCAGUGGCGAAGGCGACUUCCUGGCCUGUUCUUGACGCUGAGGCGCGAAAGCUAGGGUAGCAAACGGG
rnacentral:rRNA from 1 species